UAGGAUUCUCACUCUUUCUCCUUCUCCCCAACUCUCCCUCUCUCUCAAAAUAAACCUUAAAAAAAGAACUGGAAUGGAAAACCACAAAUAUGUACACAGAACUGGAAACACGGCUCUUCGAGAUAAGCCUUCGAAGGUCGUGAUCUCACCGGCUGUGAGUUUGAGCGCUGCACCA